rnacentral:rRNA from 1 species
GACGUAGGGGCCAGCGUUGUUCGGAAUUACUGGGUGUAAAGGGUUCGUAGGCGGUGUGGCAAGUCGGGAGUGAAAUCUCUGGCUCAACUCAGAGACUGCUUCCGAAACUGCUGUGCUGGAGUGUGGGAGAGGCGCGUGGAAUUGCAGGUGUAGCGGUGAAAUGCGUAGAUAUCUGCAGGAACACCCGUGGCGAAAGCGGCGCGCUGGACCACUACUGACGCUGAGGAACGAAAGCUAGGGGAGCAAACAGG